rnacentral:rRNA from 1 species
AUGGACGCGCGGUUCGCGCACUCGCCGGCGGAGGCGGCGAAGGUGCAGCUGGUGCAGUUCGGCAUCCUCAGCCCCGACGAAAUCAGGCAAAUGUCGGUGGCCGUGAUAGAGCAUGCAGAGACCAUGGAGAAGGGGAAGCCCAAGCCUGGUGGUUUGAGCGACCCUCGCCUGGGCACCAUUGACCGGAGGACCAAGUGCGAGACAUGCAUGGCCGGGAUGGCAGAGUGCCCGGGCCACUUCGGCCACCUCGAGCUCGCAAAGCCCAUGUUCCACAUCGGCUUCAUCAAGACCGUGCUCUCCAUCAUGCGCUGCGUCUGCUUCAACUGCUCCAAGAUCCUCGCUGAUAAGGGUAAUAACAAGUUCAAGCAGGCUCUGAAAAUCAAGAACCCAAAAAAUAGAUUACGAAAAAUACAGGAGGCUUGCAAGAGCAAAAAGGUUUGUUCUGCGGGUGAGGAUGAUCUUGAGGGUCAGGACACCAAUGAGCCAGUGAAGAAAAGAGGUGGCUGUGGUGCUCAGCAGCCAAAGAUCACAGUUGAUGGUAUGAAGAUGGUUGCAGAGUUUAAAGCAACAAACAAGAAGAAUGGCGAUCAAGAUCAACUCCCUGAACCAGUGGAGCGAAAGCAAAUUCUCUCUGCCGAGAGGGUUCUUAAUGUUCUCAAGCGUAUAAGUGACGAGGAUUGUCUUUUGUUGGGCCUGGAUCCUAAAUAUGCUCGUCCUGAUUGGAUGAUACUGCAAGUCCUUCCAAUUCCUCCUCCGCCUGUGAGACCAUCUGUCAUGAUGGACACUUACUCCAGAAGUGAGGAUGAUUUGACCCAUCAAUUAGCGAUGAUAAUUCGGCAUAAUGAGAAUCUGAGGAGGCAAGAGAGAAAUGGAGUCCCAGCCCACAUUAUCACAGAGUUUGCUCAGUUGUUGCAAUUUCACAUUGCGACAUACUUCGACAAUGAUCUUCCAGGACAACCAAGGGCCACUCAGCGUUCUGGAAGGCCUAUUAAGUCAAUCUGCAGCAGGCUGAAAGCAAAAGAAGGCCGGGUCAGAGGGAACUUAAUGGGGAAGCGUGUUGAUUUCUCAGCUCGGACCGUCAUCACACCAGACCCGAAUAUCAACAUUGAUGAAUUGGGGGUGCCAUGGAGUAUUGCUUUGAAUCUGACAUACCCAGAAACUGUUACUCCAUAUAACAUCGAGAGGUUGAAAGAACUGGUAGAAUAUGGGCCUCACCCUCCCCCAGGUAAGACAGGUGCCAAGUACAUUAUCAGGGAAGAUGGCCAGAGGCUGGAUCUUCGCUAUCUGAAGAAAAGUAGUGAUCAGCAUUUGGAGCUGGGUUACAAGGUGGAAAGGCACCUUGUUGAUGGAGAUUUUGUUCUUUUCAACCGGCAGCCCAGUCUUCACAAAAUGUCUAUCAUGGGGCAUCGCAUCAAAAUCAUGCCCUACUCAACUUUCCGCCUCAACUUAUCUGUCACAUCACCAUACAAUGCAGAUUUUGAUGGGGAUGAAAUGAAUAUGCAUGUUCCCCAGUCAUUUGAAACAAGAGCUGAGGUUUUAGAGUUGAUGAUGGUGCCAAAGUGUAUUGUGUCACCUCAAGCGAAUAAACCUGUUAUGGGUAUUGUCCAGGACACACUUCUUGGCUGUCGAAAAAUUACCAAAAGGGAUACUCUCAUCGAAAAGGAUGUAUUUAUGAACAUCUUAAUGUGGUGGGAAGAUUUUGAUGGGAAGGUCCCUACCCCUGCCAUUUUGAAACCAAAGCCGAUUUGGACUGGCAAACAAGUUUUCAACUUGAUUAUCCCCAAGCAAAUCAAUUUAAUUAGAUUUUCAGCCUGGCAUGAUGCUGAUGCUGAAAAAGAAAGCGGAUAUAUUACUCCCAGCGAUACUAUGGUACGGAUAGAGAAGGGAGAGCUUCUGUCUGGUAUACUUUGCAAAAAAACACUUGGGACAUCAAUGGGAAGUCUUAUUCAUGUUAUUUGGGAAGAGGUAGGGCCAGAUGCUGCGCGCAAGUUCUUGGGUCAUACACAGUGGCUGGUCAACUACUGGCUUCUGCAACAUGGUUUCAGUAUCGGAAUCGGGGAUACGAUUGCAGAUGCAGGUACAAUGAAGAAGAUUAAUGAUACAAUUGCAGAUGCUAAGACGGCUGUGAAUGAGCUUAUCAAGGAAGCGCGUGAGAAGAAGUUGGAACCUGAGCCAGGACGCACAAUGAUGGAAUCAUUUGAAAAUAGAGUGAAUCAGGUUCUUAACAAGGCUCGUGAUGAUGCUGGUAGUAGUGCUCAGAAGAGUUUGUCUGAGAGCAACAAUUUGAAAGCUAUGGUUACUGCAGGCUCAAAAGGCAGUUUCAUUAAUAUUUCGCAGAUGACUGCUUGCGUCGGACAGCAGAAUGUUGAGGGCAAGAGGAUCCCAUUUGGAUUUGCUGGUCGUACAUUGCCCCACUUCUCGCAAAAUGACAACGGUCCCGAAAGCCGUGGAUUCGUGCAGAACUCUUACCUUCGAGGCCUGACACCAGAGGAAUUCUUCUUCCAUGCUAUGGGUGGUAGAGAAGGUUUGAUCGAUACUGCUGUAAAAACUUCUGAGACUGGAUAUAUUCAGCGGAGGCUCGUGAAGGCCAUGGAGGACAUCAUGGUGAAAUAUGAUGGUACCGUGAGGAACUCCCUGGGUGAUGUCAUUCAGUUCUUGUAUGGAGAAGAUGGCAUGGAUGCUGUUUGGAUUGAACCGCAGAAAUUGGACUCCCUGGGGAUGAAAAAGGCCGAGUUUGACAAAGUAUUUCGUCACGAACUGGAUGAUGAGAACUGGAGGCCCACUUACAUGUCGCCUGAACAAGCUGAUGAUUUGAAGACCAUUCGUGAUAUCAGAAUUGUGUUUGAGGUAGAGAUUCAGAAAUUAGAAGCUGACAGAUUACAGCUUGGGACUGAAAUUGCCACAACUGGUGACAUUACAUGGCCUAUGCCUGUCAACCUCAAGCGGCUUAUCUGGAAUGCUCAAAAGACUUUCAAGAUUGAUUUGAGAAGACCUUCUAACAUGCACCCGAUGGAAAUUGUGGAAGCAAUGGAUAAGUUGCAAGAAAGACUCAAGGUUGUCCCAGGAGACGAUGCCAUGAGCAUCGAGGCUCAGAAGAAUGCUACUCUGCUCUUCAAUAUCCUGCUCCGUAGCACAUUUGCUAGUAAGAGGAUAUUGAAAGAAUACAGGCUCACAAGGGAAUCUUUCGAAUGGGUCAUCGGUGAGAUAGAAUCGAGAUUCCACCAGUCUUUGGUAGCUCCUGGUGAGAUGAUUGGAUGCGUAGCUGCACAGUCCAUUGGAGAACCAGCAACUCAGAUGACGCUGAAUACUUUCCAUUAUGCUGGUGUUAGCGCCAAGAAUGUCACCCUUGGCGUACCCAGGUUAAGGGAGAUCAUUAACGUCGCCAAGAAGAUAAAGACCCCGUCGUUGUCUGUUUUCCUAAAGCCUGAGGUGAGCAAGAAGAAAGAAUUGGCCAAGAAUGUCCAGUGUGCCUUGGAGUACACUACGCUACGUAGCGUGACCCAUGCCACCGAGAUAUGGUAUGAUCCUGAUCCUCUAGGAACCACCAUUGAAGAGGAUGUGGAAUUUGUCAAGUCAUAUUAUGAAAUGCCUGAUGAGGAUAUUGACCCGGAUAAGCUGUCUCCUUGGCUGCUGCGUAUCGAACUGAACCGUGAGAUGAUGGUAGAUAAGAGGUUGAGCAUGGCUAAAAUUGCAGAGAAGAUCAGACAUGAAUUUGAUGAUGACUUGUCAUGCAUAUUCAAUGAUGAUAACGCGGAUAAGCUCAUCCUUCGUAUCCGCAUUAAAAAUGAUGAUGAAACUCCAAAACAGGAUGAGGAUGAUGAUGUCUUCCUCAAGAAGGUUGAGAGUAACAUGUUGACUGAGAUGGCCCUUGGAGGCAUUGCAGAUAUUAACAAGGUCUUCAUCAAAGAGAAGAAGGUGAAUAAAUUUGAUGAAAAUGAUGGUUUCACUCAAACAAAAGAGUGGAUGCUUGAUACAGAAGGUGUAAACCUCUUGGCAGUGAUGUGCCAUGAGGAUGUUGACGCUACAAGGACAACGAGUAACCAUCUGAUCGAAGUGAUUGAGGUUCUUGGGAUUGAGGCUGUCCGCAGGUCUCUCUUGGAUGAGCUGAGGGUGGUGAUAUCUUUUGAUGGGUCCUAUGUGAACUACAGGCAUCUGGCCAUUCUCUGCGAUACCAUGACAUACAGAGGUCACCUGAUGGCUAUUACUAGGCACGGUAUCAAUCGUAAUGACACAGGACCUCUCAUGAGAUGUUCUUUUGAAGAAACAGUGGAUAUCUUGCUUGAUGCUGCUGUGUAUGCGGAGUCUGAUUACCUGAGAGGUGUCACCGAGAACAUUAUGCUUGGCCAGCUCGCUCCUAUUGGUACAGGAGGCUGUGGAUUGUAUCUGAAUGAGGAGAUGCUGAAGCAGGCCAUUGAGCUUCAACUCCCGAGCUAUGUUGAAGGUCUGGACUAUGGCUGUGGCAUGGCAUCAGAGCAUUCACCCAUCUCCGGGACACCGUACCAUGAUGGAGGAAUGAUGUCGCCAGUGCUGAGUCCAAAUUUCCGGGCUUCCCCCGUUACAGGUGCUCAGUUCUCGCCAUAUGUUGGGGGCAUGGCAUUCUCUCCCGUCCCAUCAAACUACAGCCAAUCCUAUACGUCUGGCCCUCCUUCCUACAGUCCGACCAGUCUAUCAUACUCGCCAACAUCGCCAAUCUAUAGUCCGGUAUCACCGAUCUGUAGUCCGGCAUCGACAGUUUAUAGUCCAACAUCCCCAGUUUAUAGCCCGACAUCCCUUUCAUAUAGCCCAACAUCGCCAGUUUAUAGUCCAACAUCGCCAGUUUAUAGCCGGACAUCUCUUGCAUACAGCCCCACGUCACCAUCCUAUAGUCCAACAUCGCCACUCUAUAGCCCAACAUCACCAUCAUACAGUCCUACAUUGCCCUCAUCAUACAGCCCUACAUCGCCUGGUUACAGCCCGACGUCACCGAGCUACAGCCCUACUUCACCGAACUACAGCCUGACAUCACCGAGCUACAGCCCUACGUCACCGAACUACAACCUGACAUCACCGAGCUACAACCCUACUUCACCGAACUACUGCCCAGCGNNNNNNNNCUACAGCCCUACUUCACCAAACUACUGCCCGACGUCAGUGAGCUACAGCCCUACUUCACCGAACUACUGCCCAACGUCACCGAGCUACAGCCCUACGUCACCGAGCUACUGCCCGAGGUCACCAAGCUACAGCCCUACGUCACCCUCGUACAGUCCUUCACAUGCUUAUUCUCCAAGCAGCCCAAAGAUGAUGAGCCCGUACAGUGAAGCUCCUCCAAACUACAGCCCUGCCUCGCCGACUUACUCGCCCACCUCACCAUCAUAUGCACAACCAAGCCCAUCGUACAGCCCGACAAGCCUGCACACUACCUCUGGAGGACCUAGCCCAGAUUACAGCCCAACUUCCCCCAACUACAGGUAA